AUCACUUAAAUAAUUACUAUCACUAUGAAAACUUUAAUGGCAUUUUGUUUUACUAUCAUCUUCAUCAUAUCUUUUGUUCAUUGUCUUCAUACAACUGCUGAAAGUCUGGGUUAUCAACCUCGCCGACUUUUUCGACCAUCAGUCAGAUGCUACAAAUAUAACCCGUGUGAUACUGAAAGGUGCGAUAGUGUUUGUAGUAGACACAAAUAUGAUCAUGGUUUUUGUCUUGGUACUGCAAAAUGUUGUUGUAUACCACCUCUAAGAUGAAAUGAAUCACAUGUAUUGGUAUCUGCUUAAAAUAAUAAAUCUACAAUUUUUA